AUGAAUUGAUGAUGUUUUCUUAAUUUGCUUGUGUUUUUUGUAUUUACAUGUGAUUUCUUGAGUUGCGGAAUGUUUGCUUGUUGACCACCUUGAGGUAACAAAUGAAGAAAGAGAAAAAGACACAGUGCACCCCUUUUCCUCACAAUUCUUCAUCUGCCCUGGCCUGCACUUGUACUAUACACACUGAAAGUAGGAGAUGGGUUACCAUGUGAUGGGCAUCACAGACAGCCAAUGUCCGGGGCGUUAGAAGUGCAAGAGACUGCUAGACUGACUGACUGAUGGAAAGAUGUCAAGAAGCAAAUAUCUAUUUUCACAUCUUAUUUCAUAAUGAAAAGGUCCAAGCCUUCAAGUGGGAAAGGAAGAAAAGAGAGAAAAGAGGAAGAGGAAAAGAAAGCCCAGUAUAGAGCGUUCUCUCUCUAAGACUGUUAAUAUCUAAGUCUACUGUUGUAGACUUAGAUAUUACUGAAUAUUCACAUUGGACCUCCAUGAUGGAACAGCAGAAAGGUUUCUGGCAGACCUGUGCUGCAGCUGCAAAGCUGCUACACUUAAGUCGUAACCCUGAGAGAAGACAGAGCACUGUUGUAUGAUCCAGACUGCAGCAGAGGAAUAGAGCUCUUCAAAAUGAUGUGGUUAUGGAGUGAAAUCCCAUUAUUCUGCUCCGGGGAGAUGUGGAAAUGCACAGAGGUGUUGAUUUGCUGUCAAAGGUUGAGGCGCAAUGUGCACACAAGUUAUGAGCAGUCAACCAGAGAGGGAUUUUUCGCUCUGUUUGUUUCAUUUGAGGGAUUUUUAGAGGUCUAAAGAGGUGAAAGUAUCCAUUCCUCACGCAAAAAGCAAAUAUAAAAGGAAAUCCAUAAAAAUAUACAUUAUUUUGUGUAACAAAGGUAUCUGGUGAUGUGACACUUUCAUUUUUUCUUCCCAACCCCCAGGUUGGCUUACAGUAGUUAAAGUAGUUAAAAUAAGAUCAACUUCAACCAGCUGCAAGAUUAAAUGCUACUUACAUUUAGAUGCAUCAAUAAUAAUAAUAAUCCAAUAAUAUACUGUAUAUACUAAUAAAGGGGCCACUCAGCAUACAUAAAUAUUACUUUUAAUGAUUACAGGAUCAUGCUCAUGCUGUUCUAUAUUUUCCUCAUUGUCAACAAAUCUCAUUAAAAGACU